rnacentral:rRNA from 1 species
GAUGAACGCUGGCGGCGUGCCUAAUACAUGCAAGUCGAGCGAACAGAUGAGGAGCUUGCUCCUCUGACGUUAGCGGCGGACGGGUGAGUAACACGUGGAUAACCUACCUAUAAGACUGGGAUAACUUCGGGAAACCGGAGCUAAUACCGGAUAAUAUAUUGAACCGCAUGGUUCAAUAGUGAAAGACGGUUUUGCUGUCACUUAUAGAUGGAUCCGCGCCGCAUUAGCUAGUUGGUAAGGUAACGGCUUACCAAGGCAACGAUGCGUAGCCGACCUGAGAGGGUGAUCGGCCACACUGGAACUGAGACACGGUCCAGACUCCUACGGGAGGCAGCAGUAGGGAAUCUUCCGCAAUGGGCGAAAGCUUGACGGAGCAACGCCGCGUGAGUGAUGAAGGUCUUCGGAUCGUAAAACUCUGUUAUUAGGGAAGAACAAAUGUGUAAGUAACUAUGCACGGCUUGACGGUACCUAAUCAGAAAGCCACGGCUAACUACGUG